GACGAACGCUGGCGGCGUGCUUAACACAUGCAAGUCGAACGAAGAGCGAUGGAAGCUUGCCUCUAUCAAUCUUAGUGGCGAACGGGUGAGUAACGCGUAAUCAACCUGCCCUUCAGAGGGGGACAACAGUUGGAAACGACUGCUAAUACCGCAUAUGAUCUAAUCUCGGCAUCGAGGAGAGAGGAAAGGUGGCCUCUACAUGUAAGCUAUCACUGAAGGAGGGGAUUGCGUCUGAUUUGCUAGUUGGGGGGGGAACGGCCCACCAAGGCGAUGAUCAGUAGCCGGUCUGAGAGGAUGGACGGCCACAUUGGGACUGGGACACGGCCCAGACUCCUACGGGAGGCAGCCGUGGGGGAUCUUCCGCGAUGGAAGAAAGUCUGACGGAGCAACGCCGCGUGAGUGAUGACGGCCUUCGGGUUGUGAAGCUCUGUUAAUCGGGACGAAAGGCCUUCUUGCGAAUAGUGGGAAGGAUUGACGGUACCGGAAUAGAAAGCCACGGCUAACUACGUG
rnacentral:rRNA from 1 species